rfam:Cavia porcellus supercont2_48 genomic scaffold, whole genome shotgun sequence.
AGUGGUGUAGCUCAGUGGCAGAGUGCCUGCCUAGCAUGCGAGAGGCCCUGGGUUCCAGUCCCAGCAUCACCA